CUUGGUCAUUUAGAGGAAGUAAAAGUCGUAACAAGGUUUCCGUAGGUGAACCUGCGGAAGGAUCAUUAUCGAUUUUUAGAGAUGUGCUGGCACUCCUUCACCGGUUUACAUGUGCACUCUGCAAAAUCUCCUUCUCUUACCCCACUGUGCACACCCAAGUAGACAGACAGAGUUACAGAGCAAUCUGUGUAAUUCCUGAUUUGCCUAUGUUUUUAUCAAACACCAAUAACAAUCUCAGAAUGAUCUAUAUAGUAAGCUUUUAACAAGCUGAAAUUUAAUACAACUUUCAACAAUGGAUCUCUUGGUUCUCGCAUCGAUGAAGAACGCAGCGAAUUGCGAUAUGUAAUGUGAAUUGCAGAAUUCAGUGAAUCAUCGAAUCUUUGAACGCACCUUGCACCCUCUGGCAUUCCGGAGGGUAUGCCUGUUUGAGUGUCAUUAAUCUCUCAACACAAGAAACUUUGUCUCCUUGUGCUUGGAUAUUGAAGGUUUUGCUGGCGCAAACAACUGUCAGCUCCUUUUAAAUAUAUUAGCAGAGCAGUAUAGGACUGGCCUCGGUCUGAUAAGAAACUUUAUCUAUGCUGUCGCUGGGUUUUCCUCUUUGUGCUCAGCUUCAAAUUGUCGUCGGACUGUCUCUUGAGGCAACAAAAUCUCUAUUGAUCGACCUCAAAUCAGGUAGGACUACCCGCUGAACUUAAGCAUAUCAAUAAGCGGAGGA
rnacentral:rRNA from 1 species